UACGUAGGGUGCGAGCGUUGUCCGGAAUUACUGGGCGUAAAGAGCUCGUAGGUGGUUUGUCGCGUUGUUCGUGAAAACUCACAGCUUAACUGUGGGCGUGCGGGCGAUACGGGCAGACUGGAGUACUGCAGGGGAGACUGGAAUUCCUGGUGUAGCGGUGGAAUGCGCAGAUAUCAGGAGGAACACCGGUGGCGAAGGCGGGUCUCUGGGCAGUAACUGGCGCUGAGGAGCGAAGGCGUGGGGAGCGAACAGG
rnacentral:rRNA from 1 species